CAUUGUUUUCCUACGAAAAUAUACAGUUAUGGAAAUGGGUAACUGGAUACAUAAUUACAUAAAUUUUUUCACGUCUAAAAAAAUGUUUACCAAGUGACAAUUGGCGUUGUCUAUGAAGGCACAUUAUCAUGUCAAAGUCAAGUCCACUUUGACGCCGAAACAAACAAAACUAGAAAACACCGAACUUACCUUGAUAACGGCAAAGAACUGAUCGCUGCGUCAGGAUUCGACGAAGUUUAUGCAAAUGGCACACGUUAAAGUUUCACCCGUAUUUGUACUGGAUGUGGAGUACACUAUCGCGAGAGUUAUGGACCGAUAAACUCGCUGUGGAACUCCAACUGUUACUUUUCAAACACACAUCCCUGUGAGAGCGGCUCCCGGUUAAAUUACCAAGUAAAGCUGCAAAUUGAAAUGGUUCGACGCACGCCGAUCGGACGAGCCUUCACAAUUCCAUCGACACUAACUCUGUAAAUAUCACUGAUUUCAUUCAAUCCGUUUUCUGACUCGAUCGAAGCCAUUACAAUUUUAUUAGAAGUUCAUGAUACAAUCAAACAAAGUAAAUUUUCAAUAAAAGAAACAACGAUACUGUUUUAA